rnacentral:lncRNA from 1 species
GGAAACUGGUGGAUGCUGAGCGAUGACGAGCCCCGGAUUCCACGUGAAACUCACGCCGCGCCAGGAAGCGCAGGAUGCGGAUCAAAUUCAGCCAAAAGUGGCGAUUAUCAGCGGAAGCGGACGCCGGGCGGGAAGCCGUCGGUGCGUGAGCGCGUGCGGCGGCGGCGGAGCGGCGGCAGAACAGAAAAUCACUCCCGUUGGACGAACGGACGGCUCUUCGGACGGGACGACGCAGGCAAAGUGUCCCACAUGCGCCGCCAGCAGCGUGGAAGUUGGUGCGCCGCGUGGACCGGAAGCUAAACACGGCGCACUUCCGCCUGUUGAGUUUAAUGUCGUCAUCGGUCCAGACAGAGAAGCGGAUUCUCUCUGUCCGUUGCUUCAUCCCUGAACUGAGCCGCUGCCUCCUGCUGUGAUAAUGUCGUAGUGGUAUAAAUACAAAUAUCUAUGAGUAAAUAUCAAACUCAUUUACACAGUUACAAAGCAAAACAUGAAACUAAUGAAAACAAGUAAACAUGAAUGAAAGACAGAAAUUAACAAGAAGUGAAUUGAGGAAGUUGCAUUUUUCUUAAACAGGAAGAAGAAAUUCAUCAUCUGUAGGAAGCAGCAGGUCAGAGACUCGAUGGCUGAACUCUCAUGGAUUCAUGUGAUUUUACUUAUGAUCCUGAAGCUUCAGUUGAAAGCAACAUCUGGACAACAAUACUCCUACACCACUGUCACAACUGGAGCUGAUGUCACUUUGCCGUGUCAAGUUGUAAAAAUCCGCAGGAUGAUUGUGGGAAAAUUAACUGGAUCGUUAACGUACAGUGGAAAACAGCUUAAAGCUGGUUACGUCUGGAAAAAUAGACACAAAUAAAUUAGACCGACUAAGAUUAACAAAGACCUGUUCUUUGGUCAUAAAGAACGUCACCUUGAACGAUGUUGGUGUCUACACCUGCACACAAGAAGGUCAAAGGUCGUAUGGACUGGCUUAUUUGUCUGUUGUUACCAUGACUGAACAAACAACCGGUGAUCAAGUGACAGUCACCUGCUCUGUGUGGAGCUUCGGGAGUGAGUGUGAAUACAAAGUGAAGUGGCUGCGUGAGGAUAAAGAUGUGAACCCGGGGAGCAGCUCCAUUAAACGCUGCUCCACCAGCGUCUCCUUCACCAACACGUCCACGUCCACAGUAAACUCACUGACGUGUGAAGUGAUUGACCCUCGUCAGGAAGUUCUGCACUUCCCCUUCAGGCCUCGAGACUCUAACGGAGAAACAGCUUGGUGGCGGUUCAUCGUUGUGGGUUUGGUCACACUGAUUGUAAUAGUCGUCGUCGUCAGAGGACAUAAAACAAUAAAAGCUGAUGCUGAUGAUGGACUUUCUUACGCUUCCGUCGGCUUUAAGAAGCGCGGCGCUAAAGCUCAGGUAACGCUCCUCCACAUUCUGCCCAUCGAUCCAGAGGAAGCCUCCGCUUCACGUGUGCUGCUGGUUCCUUCCAGGUCCAGAGUAGAGAUGAAGGUGAUGAAGAUGAUGGUGAUGAAGCACGGUGAAAGCUGCCUCCUCUGCUGCCGCCAGCCACAAACCGAACAAACCAGCUUAAUGUCUAACAUUUUCUACCCCAAGCCUGUUUUCUGAGAGUUUUCUGAAAAAUGGCAUAGCUUCAUUCAAAUGAAUUUAUCUCUGCAACCACAAAGUCUAUUUGACUGCAAAUAGUGUCAUAAUGUAAGGGACACUUGUGAGAUGUGAUAUGAGGUGUAAAAUUAGUGUAGGUGUUACUGAUGUGAUGUUUAUGAAUAAUAGAAAAGUAAAAUGUUUCAGUUAUAUCUAAAGAGAAAUGCACUGUUAGAAUGAAUAUCUUACUAAAGCAGAGGCAACUGAAACUUCUAACCCAUGAAAUCAUAGCACAAUCGGUGAACAUCAACUCAGCAAAAAGGUGGUUUGCAUACAGUGAAGCAGGACCAAGUUAUAACAAUUUUAAUGCAGUCAAAUGAGCGAAGGAGUUUCCUUGUGUGGAUAUUUUUUGUUUUUCCACUACUAUCCACCUACAACAGCAAUAAAAGUCAUCAAUAUGUCCA